rnacentral:siRNA from 1 species
AAGGUCCAUAAUACUUAGGCGCCA